AUACGGAGGGUGCAAGCGUUACUCGGAAUCACUGGGCGUAAAGCGCGCGCAGGCGGCUAUUUAAGUUGGAUGUGAAAGCCUACGGCUCAACCGUAGAACUGCAUCCAAAACUAUUUAGCUAGAGUGUGGGAGAGGAAGAUGGAAUUAGUUGUGUAGGGGUAAAAUCCGUAGAGAUACCUAGGAAUACCAAAAGCGAAGGCAAUCUUCUGGAACACUACUGACGCUCAGGCGCGAAAGCGUGGGGAGCAAACAGGAUUAGAUACCCCUGUAGUCC
rnacentral:rRNA from 1 species